rnacentral:lncRNA from 1 species
UCGACAAGUCGUCAGCGCGGCUGCGCCGCAGGAGCCCGGGAGGCCUUUCGCCCGAGGCGGGCUGCGGGCUGCUGGGGUCUGGUGCGGAGGGCCAACUUCUGGGAAUAACCUGGCUGUGGGCUUAAAAAUCGUAGUCAUUCAUUAUCACGGGCUUCUCUCUCUCGAAUACCUUUAACAUUUAUCGCCUUGUUAGUCUCCACAUCCACCUCCGUGAAAGAGAUGGAGUCUCGCUAUAUUUCCCAGUCUGGCCUCAAACUCCUGAUCUUAAGGGAUCCCCAGCUCAACCUCUCCCAGCAGCUGGGACUACCGGGCUGUCAAAUUUACAUUAACUAUGAGAAUUAAGCAGAAUCCGAAAGUCAUCUGAGUUGGCUAUCUGCACGUUCUCUCUGUACCAGUGAACUUGAACUGUGGCUGUGGCCUGGAUUCCGCAUUCAAACAUGACCAACUGACCUCUGGUUGUAGGGAUGUCUUGAAGAUGCUGAAGAACAAACACAGAGUUCAGAGGAUGGAAGAAACUGUUAUACCAUCUACAAUGAUUUGAAAUGCCAUUUGCAACUGCAGUUGACCGUGGGUUAUUGAAACCACAGAAAGUGAAACUGGAUAACGAAGUGAGUACUAUGUUGUAAUUUCUUAAGAGCCCUGAAUUAGGGAACUUGGGCCAAAAUAUUAACUCUGCCACUGGCUGAUUGAAGCUGGUUAUAGGAACUUGGAAAAGACUAUUAACUUCUCUGGAACUCAGGUUCUUUGUCUAUGAAAUAGGGCUAGCAAAAUAUGUGGGGUUUUGAGGUUCAUUUCACAAAGGUCUGAAAACUUCCUGUAAAGAGUAAGAGUUAUACAGAUAUAUAAAAAGUGUUUUUAGCUAGUUUAGUAUCACAAUGUAUAAAUGAAUGGAUGGCAUUUAUGUUAAAUUUACCCCUUAAAUCCUGAUCUUUCUCCUCCCUCUACCUGCAACCCCAGAGUACCCUGGAAUCUAGAAUGAUAUUUCAGAUUAUAACUUGGCAGUGAGACCAGAGAGCGGGAAUCUGAGGUCUUUCUACAGGUUAGACUAAGGACCAGCCUAACCCUCAGGCUUGAUGCCCAGAGGUCUCAGGCAUCUUAUAGGGAAGGAAUGCAGCAGGAGAGACUUGUAGAAAUAACAGACAUGUACGUGACAGCAUCUGUUGAAAACAAGCUUCCAGAAUCAAUAGCAAUGUCACUUACUCUUAAUGACAUUGUUUUGUUUGUCUCCCAUCCUGUAUCUGGUACAGAUUAAAUCCCUGCCCUGCAUUUCAUACUUUGAGCCAGCAAUGGGCAUUGAUUCCAAUUCUGCCAGGUUUGGUAAUUGGGAGACAGAGAGCCCAGAGAAGGCUUAGCCCUAGUUUUGGUUUGACCGGGGUGAUUGAAUUGUGCUAUUUCCAGUGGGUGAGAGGGAAGAUAGUGAUUCCUGGCUGUGACCUAAUCAGGACUUAGUUACUACUUUGCUUGUUGACUUCUUCAGAAUGGCAUUUUAUGGCUAGUUAAGAGAAUUUGACUAUAUUUUGAGGUCAGGCAAAGCAGUCUCCUUGGAGGGGACAGUCUAAGCAUUGCCCUCCAGAGGUGGAGGACGGCCACAGAGCAGAAGUCUAAAGAGCACAGGGUAAACCAUGAAUUGCUCUGUGACACUGAGCAAAUCAUUUCACCCCUUUUCAGCCUCAUUUUUUCUCAUAUAUAACGUGAUAAUAAUCUCUGAAAUCCUUUCUGAUUUCCCCUUUUUUUCUUCUCACCGCUUCACUAAUGUCUAAAACUUACUUAUAAAAUCUAAACUCCAUCAUGCAGUAUG